CCAGCCCCUGAAUGCACGCCAAAAAGUAAUUUUUGUUACAUUCUACUGAGUAUGAUCGUAGUAGCUGUUUAUAACAGGAAUGAGUUAAAUAUUGAAGAAUUUUGAAAAUUGCCAGCAAUUUCCCCACUAAAAUAGACAUAACUUUACUGAAAAUGGAUAAAAUGUCAUACUUUAUUCUGCAAAAUUGUUCUUCAAUUUGUUUGCAACAAUGCUACAACAUUAGUUUUUGAAUUUAGACAUGACAGUUGAUUUACCAGAGCAAAUUGAAAAUAUUUUUUUAAAUAACACUGUUUUACACCUCCUGGUGACGCUGGGACUCAAAUAAUGGACCGAUUUAAGGUUUACUAUGUCAGGAUUAUAUUUGGGGAACUAAGAAUUGAUAUCUUGAUGAAAAUUAACUUCUUUGUCCAGAGUUAGACCGCGAUUUUAGACGUAUUUUUGAAGUUUUAGGUGAUAUCUUAUGUUUUUUAACUUCAAAUCGAGAUAAAAUCAGUUUUCACCGACAGAAUAUUUUGGGAAUCGAUUUUUCUGACUCAGAAUAGUCCCCCCAACAACCUCCCGGAGGAAUUUCCGAGGUGCAUGCAAGUUGCAUAAUAAUCCCCUUCUUACCCACCGUGCGUUCUAAGUAGUUUAAGCCAGUUUAAAUUUAACAAUCUAAUUUUAAUGUAAGUGCACUUUUUUUGUCGUUUCAGUGCAGCAGGGGCUCCGACCAAGAUACCGACUUUGACAUAAACACCACGGUUCCAGCCGGGUGCGCACCAAUGACGGCAUGACCAGAGAUUGAGGUGACAGGGAACCGGAAUUGAGGCACGAGGCAGCGAAGAAAGUUUACUUGGUGCUGCCAUUUCCUGAAGUAGCUUUUCUAUGGCUUCCGGAGCAACAGGAUGGUGGUUCCGGAGGAACUGGACACAGGAGACGUGACUCAGCUGUUGGGACAGCGUUGACAUCGAGAGCAGCUUGAAUCGACAAAUGUUGUUAUGAUCGAAGGUGGCGGCAGGACGCCCUACCAGAACAGUUUACCGGUGUAGAGAAGCGUCCAGGUGACUAAUGGCCGUGGCCGGUCCAGCAGACUGACAACCUAUCAGCGUUGACCAACGAAUUGUCCAGUUUUGGAAUUCCUGUUCAUGCAUUCCGGCUUGUGUGGGAUGGAUUUGGCCUAGUACAACCCGAUCGAUACUUCGUUCCUGAUCACCUGGACCACCUGGGAGGUGACCGAAAGGCAGCCGGAGGCAGAACUCAAUGCUGCAGGAAAAAAAGUAAAAAUGUCUCUUGAAGAAAACAAAAGUCGGCUCUUAAUUAGUGUUCGGUCCCUUGAUCCGGCCAAUCCGCUGAACACGAAAGCGCAGAAACUUUUGGUGCAGCCAGAUCAACACCGCAAGCAAAUAGGAAUAAAACGACUGUCACCAUUCUACUACGUAGAUCGAACGACCAGGGAUGGGACGUCAAAAGUGACCGCAAAAAAAGUCCCGCUCAAAACUGACCCCACGAAUAGUCCAAAAAAUGAACAGGAAGUUGAUCUCAACCCGGAACCGUUGGUCGCUCAGGAAAAUGUUGAGGUUGCCCAGCUUUGAGGUUCCGGCGAGGAUCGCCAAAAGUCGUAUAAUGUAUAGUAUCGUAUAGUCAAGGAUGAUAAGACGACACGAGCAAUGCUGAGCCGUAGGCGUUCCGGAAGCCGACCUGGACAUUCACAAAAAGCGCAAUCGCUUCAGUUUGAAUUCGCCGCAAGGCAAGGCGGCGGAGGCAAAUACGAGCCAGUAGCAGACCUGCAAGUCUGUGUUCUGAAGCGCACAAAACCUGUACCUGUACGCUCUGUAACCUGUCGACAAACUGACCUUGCCCGCGCGCCGGUGUAAAGUGGACGCACUUCCGGAACAGUUAACCGGUGUCGAAAAGCGUCCGGUUGACUGAUGGCUGUGACCGGUCCAGCGGGCAGAGAAGUCACCAGUCUUGGCCAGCGGUAAAUAAUAAAUUGAAAAAGCGGUAAAUAAUAAAUGAUAAUACGAUCACAUUGCUUAAUUUACCAUUUUAUUUCACAGUUUUUUUUAGUUGUGGCCCGGUUUAAUCUGGAAAUGGUUCGCUGGAUGACCUUGACCUUGUACAUGUCCUGAAAUUGUCGAUCAACUAGAAUCUGCCGGCUACGAAAUGUUCCAGUGUGGCCAACCUGCAGAAAACGACAAAGUUUCGUUUGGAGCGGUCAGUUGAACGCAAAAAGUUAUUCCGCAAAAGUGACCGGUAUCUUCGAUGCUUAAGAAAUGGUCACUGGGACCAAGACCGAAAACGAUGAUUGGAUUGGACGGCGGAACAACAACGAACCGGACACUGGUGUGCGAUUGGCUCGUAGGUGGCACAGCGUAGGACCAGUCGAUAGCAGAGGAAUCGGUACGGUCCACGAUAGUGGCGAGAUGGACACAAGCAAUGCGUCGGCCACAAGGAGACCGGAAGCUGAUCCGGCUGGCGUGAACAUGCGCAAGAUGAACGAUCCAUGCGGCCGACUCUAGUAGCGUCCCUGAUGUCAGCGAAUCCGUUGAGAUGACUUCAAACACCAAAAAUCAGGUAGCGGCCAAUAUGAGCUAGCAGUAGCCAAGCGAGUCAGUGUUCGGUAUGAACGGUCCUAACAAGAACUAAGCGGUCCAAGGCCCUCAACAGCAGUAAGCUCCGUUACCGCCCCAGUCCCGUGCGCUGAUGUCACAGUCCAUGUGUUGUGGCAGCUGAGACGCAGGUGGAAGUUCCGGAUCGCCACCGCUUCCGUCGGAUGGUCUACCUUGGCCGGAACCAAUAAUGACGACCUGGAAAAUGCGAACCAACAGUGUCGGCGGAAAAAAUACCGAGUUUCAGCGGCAGCACGGCAGCACGGCGGCACUAAACUUUUCGCCGACGAAGUCGGGUGGUAAAUAUCGUGACUCGUACAAAGGAGGCUGUCGCGGACAUCCUGAACAAACGCAACUUCCAAGGUUGGCCACCCGGCUGCAGCGAAACCAGCACCGGGAUCACGACGACCAUCGGCGGAACUCUUUGUCGGCACGGCUCUCGAUGCAUUCAGGUAUUCCGACGCCUGAACAAGCAAAUCCCAGCAUAGCCACCAUGGAACCGGUUACCGGUGCUGAUCAAGAACGUCCGCAGUGGCUUGUCCAACUCGAAAAGAAGCUGCGCAUGUUGCAGCCGUACUCCAGCCUCCGUUUGUUCCUUACGUUGAUAAUCAACCGGUCAACCUGGUGCGAUAGAUCGACCAGGCCAUCGAAACGGAGAUACCAAAUAGGGCGUUGUUCUGUGAAACCGACCCCGCUGGACGUCGGUCCAUCCAACGGUCCAGGAGCCAAGGAAUCGUCGGUGUCGUUACGCAGAACAGCAAGGCUUCGUGCCUUGCAAAGUACUUCCGUUUCGCCCAAAGCGGCACCGGUCGCCUCCCGGCGCAUGGCACCUUCUACGAUAGUCGAGGAUCUGAUAAGGACAGAGGCGGUGCGUAAUUAAGGAGUGCCGGAAGCCGAUCUGUCCGACAUCUACAUUCUCGGCUGUCUUAACGGUAUGGAGCACGAAUAGUUUAAAUCUGGGUCGACCCCAGAACAAACCCAGAAUCGUUAUCCGCGAGAACGAUGCAAACCCGUCAGCAUCCUCAAGACGGAAAAUCCGGAACCAUUCAGAACCAAAACUGGUCCGACAAAUCAGUACGAGACAAUCGUGCCAAAAAAUGCCGACCAGCCACAAUCUCCACCAUCACUUGAACACCAGCAAGCCCACAAAGAUUACUCCAACCACAGAAGAACCGGAACCCCGGCUUCAGGAAGAACCAGCCUCACCACCUGCAACACACAAUUUUGUGCCGCUCAACGCACCUGCCUCCGUUCCAGAUACUCCUCGAUGUACAACUCAGUGGCUCGGAGAAGGAGAAGAACCACCAUGGCAUGGAAAAGAACCGAACCGAACUCCAACUCAGACGCCACGAUACUGGUCUGAAACGUUGCCGCCCGUCCUCACCGGGACCACCUCGCAUUAGGCGCAAAAGCAGUCUGCGGAAUCGGUGUCACUGAAAGAAAGGAAUCAUUACUUCAAGGAGGACGAACACAACGGAACGCUCCAGCGGUCACUGGCAUGAUCUACUGCGAUAAGGUGGACGAAAACUCUAUUUCUGCAACGAUCUCGAGCUGGUCUGCACCCAAUCCGAGCAACGCCGCCACCGCAGGUGACAGCCAAUCGGCCAACCACCAACGCUAGCGCCACAAAUCGGUGGGGGAACUCUAGCAGCAACAGCUUUUGCAGUGCUCCAAGCCUGGCGGCAAACAGCCACACCGGACGACCACGUUCCUGCAGCGCCAUUAAGUUCUCUCGGAACGACCGCUACGCGUUCUCUUUCUGGUCCAGAUCAACCAGAACCUGUUCCGCUGUACCCAGAGCUUUUCCUCGAAGACCGUCCUGUCGCAGAUAGGGCGGCAAUGUUGGCAGAAUUUGAAUAAUUCGCAAAUGAGCACCAAAAUGUUGUAGAGAAAUUGCAUGUGACCAUUCGAAAUAUUAGUGCAGUUAUUCUAAUGUAGCUGAUGAAAAAUUUUAGGAAGAGAAGCCAUGUUUAAUAGCAUUAAUUUGUAGCCCGUUGAUUCUCGAGUAGGAACCUCGCAAUACAGAGCGCCAAGGUGGUGCUGUUGAGCGGGCAUGUUGAUUUAAUUUGAUUGUUUGUGGCUCGCUGAGUAGGUUAGAGUCGAGUCAGUUGAAGGUUGGGUCGGCAAGGUGUAGUGAGGUUGCACAAUCCUGACCUAUGUUGGGUCGAUUGUGAUCAGACAUCGUGCCGGAGGAAUUGUCUUGUCAGGUGGAACUGGAGUUAAAUUUCAUACCGAAAAAUUUGGAUAAGGAAAUUGCGUGUG